GGUUCUAUAGUGUAGCGGUUAGCACUCUGGACUUUGAAUCCAGCGACUCUUUCGGAUUUGGUUCGAAUCCCGAUAGAACCU
rnacentral:tRNA from 1 species